rnacentral:rRNA from 2 species
CUACAAUGCAGUCGAACGGUAGCACAGAGAGCUUGCUCUCGGGUGACGAGUGGCGGACGGGUGAGUAAUGUCUGGGAAACUGCCUGAUGGAGGGGGAUAACUACUGGAAACGGUAGCUAAUACCGCAUAACGUCGCAAGACCAAAGAGGGGGACCUUCGGGCCUCUUGCCAUCAGAUGUGCCCAGAUGGGAUUAGCUAGUAGGUGGGGUAACGGCUCACCUAGGCGACGAUCCCUAGCUGGUCUGAGAGGAUGACCAGCCACACUGGAACUGAGACACGGUCCAGACUCCUACGGGAGGCAGCAGUGGGGAAUAUUGCACAAUGGGCGCAAGCCUGAUGCAGCCAUGCCGCGUGUAUGAAGAAGGCCUUCGGGUUGUAAAGUACUUUCAGCGGGGAGGAAGGUGUUGUGGUUAAUAACCACAGCAAUUGACGUUACCCGCAGAAGAAGCACCGGCUAACUCCGUGCCAGC